ACACGACUACAUUAGAUACCCCUGUAGUCCAGGGUGUAAACGCUGCGGGCUUGGUGUUGGGGGUCCUUUGAGGGCGCCCAGUGCCGGAGAGAAGUUGUUAAGCCUGCUGCUUGGGGAGUACGUCCGCAAGGAUGAAACUUAAGGGAAUUGGCGGGGGAGCACCGCAACGGGAGGAGCGUGCGGUUCAAUUGGAUUCAACGCCGGACAACUCACCAGGAGCGACGGUUACAUGAAGGCCAGGCUGAUGACCUUGCCUGAUUUUCCG
rnacentral:rRNA from 1 species